UAAGGAAUAUUGGUCAAUGGACGCAAGUCUGAACCAGCCAUGCCGCGUGAAGGAUGACGGCCCUAUGGGUUGUAAACUUCUUUUGUACGGGAAAAAAUCCCUGGUCGUGAACCGGGGUUGAUGGUACCGUAAGAAUAAGCAUCGGCUAACUCCGUGCCAGCAGCCGCGGUAAUACGUAGACCCCGAGCGUUAUCCGGAUUCAUUGGGCGUAAAGGGUGUGUAGGGGGCCAGGUGCGUCUUCUGUUAAAUCUUGCCACUCAACGGUGAGGCUGCAGGGGAUACGGCCAGGCUAGAGGAUGCGAGAGGUUAGCGGAACGAACGGUGUAGGGGUGAAAUCCGUUGAUAUCGUUCGGAACACCAAAAGCGAAGGCAGCUAACUGGCGCAUUUCUGACCCUGAAACACGAAAGCGUGGGGAGCAAAAAGG
rnacentral:rRNA from 1 species